UACAGAGACUGCAAGCGUUAUUCGGAUUCAUUGGGCGUAAAGGGUGCGUAGGUGGCGCUGUAAGUCGGGUGUGAAAUUUCGGAGCUUAACUCCGAAACUGCAUUCGAUACUGCGGUGCUUGAGGACUGGAGAGGAGACUGGAAUUCAUGGUGUAGCAGUGAAAUGCGUAGAGAUCAUGAGGAAGACCAGUGGCGAAGGCGGGUCUCUGGACAGUUCCUGACACUGAGGCACGAAGGCCAGGGGAGCAAACGGG
rnacentral:rRNA from 1 species